CCCUCCCCAAAAUUAAUUCAAACUCCCGCUCAGACCCUCCAAACCUAAAUCGACUUCACCAAUCACCACUCUUUCUUUCUUAUUUUCUUUAUGCGCAGACUCAAGUAAUAAGCGGCGUUUGGUGAUCCUCGGGACCUGCCGGAGCCGGAACCCUCUUACCAGCAUUUUAGAUCAGUUGCUUUUCAAUAAGAGUAAACAUAUGGCAGCCUCAGUUCGUCAUUCCAUUUGAUUCUGCAACAACACUCUCAUCAUAUCUCCGGUCGGAAACUGCAUCCCCGUCAAUGACUUCGUUAAAUUAGAAACCCUAACCCUAAAUUCGAUGUCAUGUUUAUGUUAUUUCAUUACUUAUUCAACACAAGGAUGGUGAAUUCUUAACAAAACUUAAUGGAUUUUGGUACAUCUGGUGUGAGGUGACACAACUUUGACAUUUUAAGCGGGGUGUAAACAAGCCAAGCUACUCAAGAUGGGCAUGAAAAAAGCUCGAAAGUUCAAUUAAACAAGCUUGAGCUCGAGCCUAAAAAUUUAGCUUGUUUAGUAAACAAGCCAAGCCAGAGCUUCGCUUAUUGAGCUAGAGCCGGCUGGAGAGCCAGUUGUAUAUAUAGUUUUUAUUUCAUAUAUAUUUUUAUAUAAUAGUUAUUAUUAUUGUUUAUAAAACUACGAUAAGAUAACUACAUCACGAGCUUGAGCUCGAGCCUAGUCGAGCUUGGACUUGGCUCGGCUGGUUUGCACCCGUACUUUUGAGUCUUCAAGGUAAAUCCGUAAAUGUAAGAUGCAUUCGUGUGCUCAUUAUGCCUAAGUAUAUUAUCAAGCCAAGGUUGCUGCUGCUAUUGCUUAUCUACAUCUGACGAUGUUGUAUUGGGUCUUGUUUCUGGUUUUCUUACUACAGAUGUUGAGAUCGUCUUCUGGUUUUCUUACUACAGAUGUUGAGUUCGUCUUGACUGCUUCUGUCAACUUCAAACUACACUUGUACGUCAUCGUGGGAUGUAAGGAAUCAUUGUGAAGUACUUAUUUGUACCUUGGAAUCUUGCGUGUGAUGUGAAGCCUAAAACGUUGCGCAUUUGUAUUGUAACUUAUACACUAUACUUCAUUUUUUUUUCAUUUAUUUAACUUUAAGAGAAUAAUUGAUGUAUUUAUGUUGUAUAUUAACCAACCCUUUGUUGGUUUUCUAUUAGUUAUUUUAUGUUUGAACCGUUGUGAAUUUUUUGUUA